GUCAAGUGUGAAGAGUGGUGAUCCAUCGCCAGGGUAUUAGCUUAUCAAGGUGUUAAGUUUAGCUUGGGUGGACAAGAGACAGUGACAGUACUGAAUUCAAAUGAAGAGAUGAACAGGUGAGAUUGGAGAUGAACAGGUGUUAUUGGAGAUGAACAGGUGAGAUUGGAGAUGGACAGGUGAGAUUGGAGAUGGACAGGUGAGAGAGGAGAUGAACAGGUGAGAUUGGAGAUGGACAGGUGAGAUUGGAGAUGGACAGGUAAGAUUGGAGAUGGACAGGUGCAAGAGGGAGAAAAGAGAACAUCUCCAUUCAGCAGAAACAAGUAGCCCUGUUCCACCACCGUGACGACCAGAUGCUCUCGGAAUGUGAAACAUGUAGUCAGACGAAGAGAGAGCAGCCGGAGCAGCAGAGUUCUCUGGGUUGAUCAGACGAAGAGAGAGCAGCCGGAGCAGCAGGGUUCUCUGGGGUGAUCAUAUGAAGAGAGAGCAGCCGGAGCAGCAGGGUUCUCUGGGGUGAUCAUAUGAAGAGAGAGCAGCCGG
rnacentral:lncRNA from 1 species